rnacentral:rRNA from 1 species
UACGUAGGUGGCGAGCGUUGUCCGGAUUUACUGGGCGUAAAGAGCGCGCAGGCGGUCGAUCAAGUCGGAUGUGAAAGCCCCCGGCUCAACUGGGGAGGGUCACGCGAUACUGAUCGACUCGAAGGCAGGAGAGGGUAGUGGAAUUCCCGGUGUAGUGGUGAAAUGCGUAGAUAUCGGGAGGAACACCAGUGGCGAAGGCGACUACCUGGCCUGUUCUUGACGCUGAGGCGCGAAAGCUAGGGGAGCAAACGGG